AGCUCCAUUAGCGUAUAUUAAAGUUGUUGCAGUUAAAAAGCUCGUAGUUGGAUUUCGGUGUGGGCCAGUGGGUCGGCCGCGAGGCCUGUUACUGACUGGUCCGCUCUUCCUCUCAAAGACUGCGCGUGCCCUUCGCUGGGUGUGCGUAUUUGGAUUUGGGACGUUUACUUUGAAAAAAUUAGAGUGUUCAAGGCAGGCUCUGGCCUGAAUACAUUAGCAUGGAAUAAUGGAAGAGGACCUCGGUCCUAUUUUGUUGGUUUCUGGGGCCGAAGUAAUGAUUAAGAGGGACAGUUGGGGGCAUUCGUAUUUAAUUGUCAGAGGUGAAAUUCUCGGAUUUAUGAAAGACGAACAACUGCGAAAGCAUUUGCCAAGGAUGUUUUCAUUAAUCAAGAACGAAAGU
rnacentral:rRNA from 1 species